CAGCCGCCGCGGUAAUACGGAGGGUGCAAGCGUUAAUCGGAAUUACUGGGCGUAAAGCGCACGCAGGCGGUCUGUCAAGUCGGAUGUGAAAUCCCUGAGCUUAACUUAGGAAUUGCAUUCGAUACUGGGAAGCUAGAGUAUGGGAGAGGAUGGUAGAAUUCCAGGUGUAGCGGUGAAAUGCGUAGAGAUCUGGAGGAAUACCGAUGGCGAAGGCAGCCAUCUGGCCUAAUACUGACGCUGAGGUACGAAAGCAUGGGGAGCAAACAGGAUUAGAUACCCCUGUAGUCCCUGUCUCUUAUAC
rnacentral:rRNA from 1 species